AGAUGAUGGAAAAUAGUUUAAAAGAAAUUAAUUCAUGGGAGAAGAUCUGUGCAGCAUCACAAACUGCAGGAGAAUUAAACAGAGAGGAAAAGAAACAUGGCAAACAAAGUGGACGAGAUACAAUGUAAUGAACCAGAAGAGAAGAAGAUCCUGAGACGAGUCAGACGGAACAGUAUUAAUAGUGGAAGACCAAACUUUUGUGAUGAUGCAGAAAGUUUUAUUCAGAGAGACUCACAGACGAGACAGGAGCAGCUCCUUUCACCAGACCAGCAGAAUAUACUUUAUAUUCAGUCUCUAACUAAACACUGCUUUUUUUUAGAUAGUUUGUUGUAUUUUUGUGUUACUGUAUAUUCAAAAUAUUAUAGACCUACUGUAUAUAACAAGCCAAUAUCAACUAAUAUCAACUUCAUUCACUGUACAAUUUUACACUGUAUAAAACUAAGAACUGGAGCAUUAUCUGGAAUACUAUUGUUGAAAUUUACUAGCAAUUUGUUUUACUGUAUGAUGCUAUGUUUCUAAAACUAUUACAAUAUUUCAUAGUGACAAAAAUGUAUGUUUAAAAAAAAGUGUAUUUUAUAAAACUAAUUUUAUGAUUUUUAUUGCAAUACAUCUGUAUAUACUGAUAAAAAAUAAAAUAUUUUUCUCUUCAAUAUUUUGAUUUUGU
ensembl:lncRNA